rnacentral:rRNA from 1 species
UACGUAGGGUGCGAGCGUUAAUCGGAAUUACUGGGCGUAAAGCGUGCGCAGGCGGUUUUGUAAGCCAGAUGUGAAAUCCCCGGGCUUAACCUGGGAAUGGCAUUUGGGACUGCAAGGCUGGAGUGUGGCAGAGGAGACUGGAAUUCCUGGUGUAGCAGUGAAAUGCGUAGAUAUCAGGAGGAAUACCGAUGGCGAAGGCGGCUCUCUGGGACGGUACUGACGCUGAGACGCGAAAGCCAGGGGAGCAAACGGG